AUGACUUGAUGAGCAGGGCAUAGGUCUGCACCUGUGAUUGGAACCAGUGAACCAGGGCCACAAAAGCAGAGCACAUGAACUUAACCACUAUGCUGCUGGGCUGGCCCCAACAAAUAAUGGUUUUGGUAAAUGCUUUCAAAGAUGGCCACCAACACUUCCUCCUGACAAUUCCUCCCUUUCCUGGUGGGAGUGUGUGUAUGUCAAGAGGUGGAGUCUGUUUCCCUCCCCUUGCACCUGGCCUGGCCUUGGGAUUUGCUUUGACCAAUGUAAUGCUGUGGAGGUGACCUUCUGGACUUUGAGCCCUGGCCUGAAGCUCUCCGAAAACUUCUGCUUCACCCCUUGGGACCCAGCUGCUUUGUAAAGAAGCUUGGGCCAGACAGCCAAGAAUGUGAAGAGAGAGAGAGACCCAGCCAGCCCCUGGCUAUUCCGGCAGCAGCUGUAUGAGUGAAGGCAUUUUGGGCUUUCCACUUUCUGAUUGAGCUCUCAGAUGAAUGUAGCCGCAAAAGUGACCCAGCCAGUACCACGUGGAGCAGGAGAACCCUCCAUCUGAGCCCAGACAAGUUUGGCUUGGCACCAUCUUUUGUAAGAAGCUCCUUAUCUGCCUCACCUUCAGUGUCUCCAUCAGCCCGUUCAUCCUUCACACAGCCACCAGAGUUAUCUUCCUGCGCACAAGUUGGAGAAUGUCAUUUGCUUUAUCAGAAACUUGAACGGCUUUUUAUUCCCUAUAGAAUAAAGAAAAAAAUUAAAAAAAAUUUUUAAUAUGUGAAUAACAUGUACUUAUGGCUAAUGGUAGUUAUAUUUACUAACUGAAACAAAACAAAACAAAACACAGCAUACAGACUCUUCUACUCUGUUUGGCCCAGAAGUGUCUGAACCUCUCUACCUGGGAUGAAAGAGAGCAGUUGUUUACCUCCCACACAGUGUAGCCAAGGCCAGCUACAAGAGUUUGCUCAUGUUAUUGUCCAUCCGUGAGAGGUGAACUCCAGCUCGUGGAGAUUUCUAUGAAGCAUUUCAAUUUUUUUGAAAGAAAAUAUUAAUGGAACACUUGCUUUAUGCAUUAUUAUUAUUGUUGUUGUUAUUAUUGCCGCCACUCUUGACAAUGAGAGUGCGCAAGAAACGGUUGCUCCCUUAUCUUCACUAUAGAGGGAAUGGCCCAUCCCUGCCUUGUUCUUGCCCCUUUUGUCUUUGAUGUACACAUUUAAACUUACUUUUCAAUAAGACUAGGUUUCAGCUAGAAUUCACUUCUAACAAAUGAUGAAAGUCAUUUGGAAAAGAUCCAGUAGAGGAAGUUUCAUCAACCUGGUCCUUUCUAGAACUUCCCAAUAGAGAAGCACCAAGUUAAUCAGAGCUAUCCUUGCUCAAACCUUCCCUGGAGCAGGGGUGCCCGUUUGGAUUUCAGUGGACUUUCAUGUUGGACAAGAGCCCCUCCUGUGAGCAAAAAGAAAACAGUUGCUGUUAAUAUCCAAAAAAUGAAAUCUAAGUGGGUGUUGCCAAGAAAAUGUAUCAACAAUGCAAGUGAUUUUGAUUGUUCAGCUUACAAAGAGAACCUGCUUGGAAGCCUUACCCUUCCACUUGUAGUCACUUGUAGGUCACUUGUAGGUCACAGGUGAGAGUGAUUGGGAGGGGAAGAAAGACCUGUGAACAGGGAUGGGAAAGCAGGAACGUGAAUUCUCGAGUAGCUUUGUGUUCAGAAGCAGUAGCUGCUAAAGGAACAGAAUUUUCUCAUGUUUUAUAAUCUAUUCCAGAUUUUCCCCAGACUUUUCAAUACCAAGGACCCUUUUAGUAAUUGACACCUCCCUCGUGUACCCAGUUUUUAAAAUAUUUUGUCUACAAAAUGAUUUUACUAUGUAAUGACUAAUACAGAUGUGUAUAUAUAUAUAUAUUUUUUUUUAAUUAGUCAAACAACCACAACACAUGGUUGUCAGGCAGAAUGUCUAAUGAAGUGGAGAACUGAUAUGAUUCCAGCCAAACACAAACUUUUUGUUGUUGUUGGCUUGUGUGGAUGUAUUGUUUGAUUUUCAUUGGACCUUCAGAAAUGUAAAAAUACUUAAGGGGCUCCCUUUGCACCUUCCCAGGUUGCUAGGAGGCUAGGAAAUCCUAGAAUUUAUAGGAGGUUAUUUUAUAAUCUUUCUAGAUAGGAAGUAAUCAUCCUGAGAUAUUAAAAAGUGUUAAGUGUACAGUUUUGGGCAUUACAAAGUUAUGUGAUGGACUUCUGCUGAAUGUUGGUCUAAGACACACCAAAGAUAACUGAAUUAUGAGCACUUCAAAUUAAUCUGUGCCGACCUGUCAGGAGGAAUUUAUGAUUUCAUUUUUAGAAAUAGGAUAAAGAAAUGAAAUAAAGUCUAAUUCUAGUGUGUAAAUUAGGGAAAUCAACCUUUUCCAGUAUGGUCCUGAAUAAACUGCUUUCUCUUUGACAUGCUCAA